UGCAGCCAAAACCUUUCUUUUCCUAACUCAGCAGCAGCGUUUCUCUUCCAUGAAGGAACGAAAACAGAAUAGAGAGGGAGAAGGACUUAGCGCCGCCGGCUGGGUACUGCCGCCGUGAUCGCCAGACUGCCGCACGCGAGGAGCUCCGCCGUCGAAGUCGCCCCGUUCAUCCCUGCCCAGUCGCGGUUCUGGCACCCAUCACCCCAUUCCGUCGCUGGAGAUCUCGGAGCCGCCGCUCGUUGCUCCAUCCUUGUCACCACCACUGCCUCUAUGUCUCCCAACGGCGCCACCAUCGCUGCCGUGGAUCGCGACCAGAGGGGAGCACGAGAUCGAGAGAGAGUGAGGCGUGGAGACGGCGUCGCGCGGAGAGGGACUCGUCACUGCCGUCGCGCACAGCCAUGUGUCGUCACUGCCGUCUGAACAGUCGCCGUCGCCCUGGGGUGUAGUCCGCCGCUGCCGCCAGUGGGGGGUCACUACUGUGGAACGGAGGUGAGAGAGGGAAGCAAGAUGGAUUCCCUCCGCUUCUGGUGCUUUGGUUCGCCGCCACUGCCGCCGGAAUCCUUGGCCGUCGCUCCUACCGUUGCUCCAUUUGGGUUCUGGGUGAGCGCGCUGCCACUGCCUUUGGAAGCCGCUGCUUGGGCCAGGAUGCUAUGGUGGUUGCUAAUGAAGCCGCUGUGGAUGGGGCUGCCAUGUUCAGUAAAUUCUGCGAGUUUCGACACUGAGCUGCUGUUAUUAGAUAUUCAGACCGCCGUUGUCGCCCAAAAGUUAUUGAUGGAGCUGCUGCCGGGCCGAUUUGAUGUUGCGGCUGCUUUAUUUCGUUAAUACAGAGUUAGAAUCCAGUUUCCUUGUGCCGUUUGUAGCUAUUUCUGCUUUUGAGAGAGCAAGCAGAGCCAGGAUUUUGGUUGAUCGGUGAUUUUGGGCUGAGCGAAAAGGAGUCAGUUAACGCAUUUGGGGUUAUGGUUUGUGUUUUGAGGAUUUGGGCGCAGAAGUUAUGAAGAGUUUAAUUAUUUGUUAUUGAGAUGCUCUGUAUUGCUUUAGAUUAUUAUUUUUGUACCCUCGCCUUUAUCUUGAUAUAUUCUGUGAGAGGGAUAGGAAUUGUACUGGAUAACGUUUGUAAUAUUAUUUAUAUAUAUGUAUGUAUGUAUAUAUGGAUGUACUCUUUAUGAGUUUCUGUAAGUUGUAUGGUAUGUAUGGACGUACGUUGUAUGGCGAAAGUAUUUUUGGGAAUGGUGUUGCGGUUUAAAGUUUUUUUAAA